rnacentral:rRNA from 1 species
GACGAACGCUGGCGGCGUGCUUAACACAUGCAAGUCGAACGGAAAGGCCCUGCUUUUGUGGGGUGCUCGAGUGGCGAACGGGUGAGUAACACGUGAGUAACCUGCCCUUGACUUUGGGAUAACUUCAGGAAACUGGGGCUAAUACCGGAUAGGAGCUCCUGCUGCAUGGUGGGGGUUGGAAAGUUUCGGCGGUUGGGGAUGGACUCGCGGCUUAUCAGCUUGUUGGUGGGGUAGUGGCUUACCAAGGCUUUGACGGGUAGCCGGCCUGAGAGGGUGACCGGCGACAUUGGGACUACGAGACGGAGCAGACUCGUACGGGAGGCAGAAGUGGGGAGUAUUGCACAAUCGGCGGACGCGUGAGGCAGCGACGCCGCGUGCGGGAUGACGGCCUUCGGGUUGUAAACCGCUUUAGCCUGUGACGAAGCGUGAGUGACGGUAAUGGGUGAAGAAGCACCGGCUAACUACGUG